AUUGAACGCUGGCGGCAUGCUUUACACAUGCAAGUCGGACGGCAGCACAGAGAAGCUUGCUUCUUGGGGUGGCGAGUGGCGAACGGGUGAGUAACAUAUCGGAACGUACCGAGUAGUGGGGGAUAACUGAUCGAAAGAUCAGCUAAUACCGCAUACGUCUUGAGAGGGAAAGCAGGGGACCUUCGGGCCUGCGCUAUUCGAGCGGCCGAUAUCUGAUUAGCUAGUUGGUGGGGUAAAGGCCUACCAAGGCGACGAUCAGUAGCGGGUCUGAGAGGAUGAUCCGCCACACUGGGACUGAGACACGGCCCAGACUCCUACGGGAGGCAGCAGUGGGGAAUUUUGGACAAUGGGCGCAAGCCUGAUCCAGCCAUGCCGCGUGUCUGAAGAAGGCCUUCGGGUUGUAAAGGACUUUUGUCAGGGAAGAAAAGGCUGUUGCUAAUAUCAGCGGCUGAUGACGGUACCUGAAGAAUAAGCACCGGCUAACUACGUGCCAGCAGCCGCGGUAAUACGUAGGGUGCGAGCGUUAAUCGGAAUUACUGGGCGUAAAGCGAGCGCAGACGGUUACUUAAGCAGGAUGUGAAAUCCCCGGGCUCAACCUGGGAACUGCGUUCUGAACUGGGUGACUAGAGUGUGUCAGAGGGAGGUAGAAUUCCACGUGUAGCAGUGAAAUGCGUAGAGAUGUGGAGGAAUACCGAUGGCGAAGGCAGCCUCCUGGGAUAACACUGACGUUCAUGCUCGAAAGCGUGGGUAGCAAACAGG
rnacentral:rRNA from 1 species